CAGAGUAACUGUGAGGUUGUUAUUCUGUGGGGCUACUUGUCCAAGAAGAGAACAGCGUCCUGCUGUGAGCAUCAGAGCAGCUUGCAACAACAUUGAGAUCUUGCUGCGAAUGUCAGGAUGAGUGGUUGAACUAUCCGAUGUGACAAUGGCUGUGCAAUCACAUUUAAGACUCAGGACAUGAUACAUCAGUAAAAUAGGCAAUUAUCAGAAACAAGAUGACUUUCAAUCCUUGUAAUAUGUCUCCAAACCGAAAGAAGCCACCUUAGUUCUGUCUGCCUGGAAUCAGGAGCGCUCAUCCAGCCCUGGUUGGGUGAUGCUUGGUCUUUGAGCAAGGCCCGGAGAUGCAGGUCACACUGAACGUUCCUAUGGAUGGUCACACUACAGUUCUCACGGGGGAUGUUCCAUGCGCCCCCCUCCAAGCCAAACACCUGCCUGCUUCAUUCUUUCCCACUAUCAUGCUCAUUCCUGUGGAUCUUUCUAACUGGCACAGUUUCACCAGACGGUUUGAAAUGACACUGGCCACUCUUGGGGAAUUUUAAGAUGGACAAAAUGUUCAUUUGAAAGGCACCUUAAAAUAAAACAAAAG